CCGGGUUGUUCCUGAGAAGAAAGGCUAGUUGCCUUUUCAAGACUGAUGGCACUAGCAUUUGCUUCAUUAGUAACACGAAGAACCCGAGAAGUGUUUGGCGCAAAAACAAGAGGAGCUAAGGGAUCGAAACUAGAAUCUUCCUUUUUAUGGUGAAAUUUCGAAUAAAAUUUGCUAAGUAAACGCUUCGCUCGACUAACAUGUCUAUGGAUACCAUGAGGUUCAAGUUCAAAACUUCCUCUAGAAGAAAGAGCGUUUGACUC